rfam:Dipodomys ordii contig_44292, whole genome shotgun sequence.
UUGUUACUUAUUAAAGUGAGCACUUCUCUUGGUAAGGAUGAAAGAGGCCUUUGGGUCUGACAACAUGUAUAUGGUUAGGUGUUUCCACAUAGCUCAUGGCAUCUAGCCAUCUUUUUCU